GACGAACCGUGCGAACGUUAUUCGGAAUCACUGGGCUUAAAGCGCGUGUAGGCGGGACGGCACGUCUGUCGCUGAAAUCCCCCGGCUUAACCGGGGAACUGGCGUAGAUACGACCGUCCUGGAGGGGCGUAGGGGGACCUGGAACUUCCGGUGGAGCGGUGAAAUGCGUUGAGAUCGAAAGGAACGCCCGCGGCGAAAGCGAGGUCCUGGACGCCUACUGACGCUGAGACGCGAAAGCCAGGGGAGCGAACGGG
rnacentral:rRNA from 1 species